rnacentral:tRNA from 1 species
AUGAUGAUAAUACAUAUGUAUAUAUGUAUUAUCAUCAUACAUAUAUGUACUCACCUUUACAUAUA